rnacentral:rRNA from 1 species
UACGAAGGGGGGCUAGCGUUGCUCGGAAUGACUGGGCGUAAAGGGCGCGUAGGCGGAUGGCACAGUCAGAUGUGAAAUUCCCGGGCUUAACCUGGGGGCUGCAUUUGAUACGUGUGAUCUAGAGUGAGGAAGAGGGUCGUGGAAUUCCCAGUGUAGAGGUGAAAUUCGUAGAUAUUGGGAAGAACACCGGUGGCGAAGGCGACUCGCUGGACAAGUAUUGACGCUGAGGUGCGAAAGCGUGGGGAGCAAACAGG